AGCUCCAAUAGCGUAUAUUAAAGUUGUUGCGGUUAAAAGCUCGUAGUUGGAUUUCUGUUGGAGUCAGACGGUGCGCACCUCGUGCGUUAUUUGAAUGGCUUUGGCAUCCUCUGGGGGAACGUCUCUGGACUUAAUUGGACAGGGCGAGAUUCCAGACUUUUACUUUGAGGAAAUUAGAGUGUUCACGGCAGGCAAGUGCUUUGAAUACAUUAGCAUGGAAUAAUAAUAUAGGACCUUCGUUCUAUUUUGUUGGUUUCUAGAACUUAGGUAAUGAUUAAUAGGGAUAGUUGGGGCAUUCGUAUUUAACU
rnacentral:rRNA from 1 species